AAAACUCCUCAGGGGUUAGAUGCAGGGAGUUAUGUUGUGAUUUGUGUAGGGGUGGCUUUGGUGAGCUCAUCCUGGCAUUUUAAAAAUAAUGUGAAUGGUGUAUCCCUUUGUGAUCAUCAUCACUUUUUCCCUGCGAGUCCCAAUCAAUGCGGGUGUGACUGCUGUAUGAAGUCUCAGGAAGCCCACCCCAGUGGAGAAGAAGGCUUGCAGGAGGCAGGAGAUGCUGUCCGAUGACCACGUGAAUGAAAUCAUCAUACAGGUUGAGAAUGUUUCCUCUGGGGUCCAAAGCCACCCAUCCUCAAAUCAGAUUUUUCAAGAAAAGGUGCUGCUAGACUCAAGCAUCAACAUGGUUUCGUCAAUAUCUGACAUUGAUGUGAUAGACUCUCAGACAGUCAGCAAAAGGAAUGACCAAAAGGGUAACCAGGUGCUGCGGUUUUCAACAUCUUUGAAUGAGUCGAUGUCUCAGACCCUUCAUAGCCUGGAAUGCAUGGGCAUAGACACUCCUGGUUCUUCACAUGAAACUGUUCAAGGACAGAAGUUAAUCGCAUCUCUUAUACCCAUGACAUCCAGAGACAGAAUUAAAGCCAUCAGGAACCAGCCAAGGACCAUGGAAGAGAAAAGGAACCUUAGGAAAAUAGUUGACAAAGAAAAAAGCAAACAGACCCAUCAUAUCCUUCAGCUCAAUUGCUGUAUUCAGUGUCUGAACUCCAUUUCCCGGGCUUAUCGGAGAUCCAAGAACAGCCUGUCAGAAAUUCUGAAUUCCAUCAGCCUGUGGCAGAAGACGCUGAAGAUCAUUGGAGGCAAGUUUGGAACCAGCGUCCUCUCCUAUUUCAACUUUCUGAGAUGGCUUUUGAAGUUCAACAUUUUCUCAUUCAUCCUGAACUUCAGCUUCAUCAUAAUCCCUCAGUUUACCGUGGCCGAAAAGAACACCCUCCAGUUCACUGGGCUGGAGUUUUUCACUGGGGUGGGUUAUUUUAGGGACACAGUGAUGUACUAUGGCUUUUACACCAAUUCCACCAUCCAGCACGGGAACAGCGGGGCAUCCUACAACAUGCAGCUGGCCUACAUCUUCACAAUCGGAGCAUGCUUGACCACCUGCUUCUUCAGUUUGCUGUUCAGCAUGGCCAAGUAUUUCCGGAACAACUUCAUUAAUCCCCACAUUUACUCCGGAGGGAUCACCAAGCUGAUCUUUUGCUGGGACUUCACUGUCACUCAAGAAAAAGCUGUGAAGCUAAAACAGAAGAAUCUUAGCACUGAGAUAAGGGAGAACCUGUCAGAGCUCCGUCAGGAGAAUUCCAAGUUGACGUUCAAUCAACUGCUGACCCGCUUCUCUGCCUACAUGGUAGCCUGGGUUGUCUCUACAGGAGUGGCCAUAGCCUGCUGUGCAGCUGUUUAUUACCUGGCUGAGUACAACUUGGAGUUCCUGAAGACACACAGUAACCCUGGGGCGGUGCUGUUACUGCCUUUCGUUGUGUCCUGCAUUAAUCUGGCCGUGCCAUGCAUCUACUCCACGUUCAGGCUUGUGGAGAGGUACGAGAUGCCACGGCACGAAGUCUACGUUCUCCUGAUCCGAAACAUCUUUUUGAAAAUAUCAAUCAUUGGCAUUCUUUGUUACUAUUGGCUCAACACCGUGGCCCUGUCUGGUGAAGAGUGUUGGGAAACCCUCAUUGGCCAGGACAUCUACCGGCUCCUUCUGAUGGAUUUUGUGUUCUCUUUAGUCAAUUCCUUCCUGGGGGAGUUUCUGAGGAGAAUCAUUGGGAUGCAACUGAUCACAAGUCUUGGCCUUCAGGAGUUUGACAUUGCCAGGAACGUUCUAGAACUGAUCUAUGCACAAACUCUGGUGUGGAUUGGAAUCUUCUUCUGCCCCCUGUUGCCCUUUAUCCAAAUGAUUAUGCUUUUCAUCAUGUUCUACUCCAAAAAUAUCAGCCUGAUGAUGAAUUUCCAGCCUCCGAGCAAAGCCUGGCGGGCCUCACAGAUGAUGACUUUCUUCAUCUUCUUGCUCUUUUUCCCAUCCUUCACCGGGGUCUUGUGCACCCUGGCCAUCACCAUCUGGAGAUUGAAGCCUUCAGCUGACUGUGGCCCUUUUCGAGGUCUGCCUCUCUUCAUUCACUCCAUCUACAGCUGGAUCGACACCCUAAGUACACGGCCUGGCUACCUGUGGGUUGUUUGGAUCUAUCGGAACCUCAUUGGAAGUGUGCACUUCUUUUUCAUCCUCACCCUCAUUGUGCUAAUCAUCACCUAUCUUUACUGGCAGAUCGCAGAGGGAAGGAAGAUUAUGAUAAGGCUGCUCCAUGAGCAGAUCAUUAAUGUAAGUCCCCUUGGAUCCCUCUGAUGUCCGCCCUCACCCUUUUUAAACGCUGUAUAAACAUCCUCCAAAAUAAAGAGAAUACUACAAUG
rnacentral:sRNA from 1 species